rnacentral:lncRNA from 1 species
UAAGAUAAAGUUAGUAGCUGUAAGCCUAUAAGUUAAAAAAACUGAACUGUGUUCAAUUGUGAUGGACUUCAUACGAGGCAAAGCUCAGGCAUACGCUAAUAUCUCAGAGCACUUGGAUAAGCUAGUGUGGUCCACCAUGGCAUAUUAUCCUGUUAUCCUGGUUAUACACCCUCAUAUUCUUAUCUUGAACCACUUGUAAGUUGGCAGAGAUUGAAAUUCACAUAUACACAGAAUACGCUGGUUGUAGGUAAACAUCAUCCUAUCUAUGCAAUAGUGCUUUUAAAGACCACUACUCUAUGUCCUCUUUUUCUUAUGUUUAUCACAUGUUUUUAAUUUCCUCUCUUGGUUUCUCAUGGCAUCUUACAUUGAUUUGUACUCUUCUGGCAUGUCCUACAAUAGUUCCUGCAAAAAUGUGUACUACAUUAUAUCAGGUAAAAUCAUUUGUAAAAUGAGAAAAGAGUGUCUAGUUCCAUUGUAAAAGGUGGCUACUAUUUUAAUGGAAAAAAACAUGAGAUUACAAUGUAAUGAAGCCAAAAAAUAAAGAACUUAAUGUAGAACACAUCUUACAUGAAAAUAUGAAAUGAAACUGCAAAAAGUUACAGAAAUCAAGUAGCCAAGAUGUGCAAGAAGCAAUGAAAUAUUUUGGAGGCGAAGCCGAAAUGAAAUGGGAGUGAAAAAGCACCUCUCGACGGAUCAAAACAUAUAUUAUCUUCCAUACAUGCUGACUACUUACAUGGAUGAUGCAUAAGCAUCGGAAAUUUUAAAAAAGAAAAACAUACAUGUAAUAUCCGCAUAUUCAUGUAGUGCAACUUCUUAAGAGCCUUCUUUCUAGGGUUGAAAGCUUCUGAAAAGCCUACGAUUAUCUAAAUUUCCAUAAGUAGCAGACAUGAAAUUUGCAUCAAAAUAAUCACAAUUAAGAGUCUAUAGUACAUCUUGAGCAACAAACUAGUGGUUCAGUAUAGCGUCAUGAAAUAAGAGUACCCUUGCUGAAGAUACAGUCAAACAAAAAGUAGUUUUACUGAGUCAAUUGUCCAAUUUAGAGUUAACAUAUGGACUGCAAUAACCAAGCAUCAACUACAGCAGCUGGACGUUUGUGAACAAAUAACUUAUAACUACACAUGAGGAAGCAAAUCUGCAUGAACUCCGAGCGGGCACCAUCAAAUUUUACAGAUUAAGUGAUCAUCUCCCAGGCAAAUCUGCAUGAACCUAUCUUUACAGCCAUUCCAGACCCUCAACGUGACGCACGCCCUGAGCCCCUCCCAACUGAGAGGCCCCCAAUUGAAACUGGUCAGAUAUCUGUACGUACCUCCGACUAGUUGCUCGACAUGGUGGAUCUGGCGACGGCGCGCCCGAGAACUCCAAAUAUGGCUUCAAAACUCGGACACAUGCUUCAGGGAUGUAGUGCGCCACUGAUUUGGGGAACUCGGACACAUGCUUCAGGGAUGUAGUGCGCCACUAAUUUGGGGAUGGAGCUCAUCACCGACUCAAUAAAAAGAUGCUCCCUGCUACCUUUAGGGAAUACCGGAGAAAGAGGACAAUGACGAGUAGGCGUAGAUGGAGAUGCCGCUCCCACGGGGCGGUUGAGGGGC